AUGAUGGUUUCCAGCUGCAUCCAUGUCCCUACAAAGGACUCGAACUCAUCCUUUUUUACUUUUUUUCUUAAAUCAUGAGGGCUGCUUAGCAUGUGGGCACAGUUUAUGGCCUUAAGAGAGUGAACUAAGUUAUACUUGUGAUUUGAUGCUAGCAGCACCACAUACUAACUUGGUUAAUUUAUCAAAUGUAAUUUCUAAAGCAUUCUUUUCUCUCUUAGAUCAAUGGCACAUAAAUGAAGUGAUAUGGUUUGGUUAUUUGUCCCUUUGAAAUUUCAUGUUGAAAUGUGACCUCCAAUGUUGGAGGUGGGCCUAGUGGAGGUAUUAGAUCAUGGAGGAAGAUCCCUCAUGAAUGGCUUAGCACCAUCCCCUUGGUCAUGAGUGAGUUCUCACUGAUUUCACACGAGAUCUGGCUGUUUAAAAGAGUCUGGGACCUCCCCCUUCUCUUUCUUGCUCCUGUGCUGGCCAUGUGACACGCUGGCUCCCCUUUGCCUUCUGUCAUAACAGUAAGCUUCCUGAAGCCUCAUCAGAAGCAGGUGCUGGCACUAUGCUUCAUGUACAGCUUGCCGAACCGUGAGCUGAUCAAACCUCUUUUCAAGUUACCCAGUCUUAGGUAUUCCUUUAUAACAAUACAAAUGGACUAACACAUGAAGGCUUACAUGAAUAAUUUCACAUUUAAGCAAUUUCUCAUGUAUUUGGCAAUCUGAUCCAGCUUUUUCUCAAUGUAACCAUGAAGAGCAGAGAGUAAAAAAAAAUUUAGAUUCUUAAGUAUAAGGAAACAUUCUUGUUAGCUAGAAAUGGAAAUGUCAGAGUGCAAAGGAUGGCCCAGAGAAGUCUGUAGCUGUAUGAAUAAUUUCAAGGAUGACAACCUUUUGUAGCAAUAUACUUUCAGUUAACGCCCUUAAUCUGCUUUCUAAUAAUGUACUUCAUCAGAAAUCCCUGCCUUGUUACACUCAUAUCAUGUGAGCAGUCCCUUCCAAUUCUUAAUAACUCACUCACACUUUGCAGGUCCUUUCUUAUAUGGACAUUGGCUUACUUGUCACUUGUUACUACCUCUCUUUUGUACUCUAAUGUUUCUUUGCAAUGGAACAUGUGAGUGGAAAUGAUAUUUAGGUUCUUGAAACUUGCUUUGUGAGUUUUUCCAGACUAGUAUACAUUAACUACUGCUUCAUUUAGUGCUUAAACAGUUUGAGCUAUUUUUCAAAUUAAAUGUAACUCAUUUAACAGACAAUAACUACCAUAUAUUAAGUACCUACUAUGUAUCAGGCUCUGACUAGUCACUGCAUACGUAACUGAGGUUCAAACAUGCCCAUGGUUAUAUGGAUACUCUGCAAAUUCAUCUACUAAUCUGUCCCUGACCUCUAGGGUCUCCAAUAGCCCUUAAGCACAGACACCCUAUAUUUAAGUCUCUUUAGAAUGUUCUUUAAUUACUUACCUUUCCUAGAAAAUAAAUGGCCAGAUAUUGCUCCUGAGUUCUACUUGAUUUCCUUUCAAGAAAUGCGGCUCUUUUUCUUCAUGGAAAAAGGCCAUCCCUCCAUUUCCUCCAUUCUUAUCAAGAUACAGAUCUUUAAUGCAGGUCCACUGCAGCAGGAUCUACCUUACGAGUGCUUGGUAGAAAAAGAGGUAGGUGCAGCAGGGAUGGGUCGGAGGUGAAGAGGGGGAUUGGAGGGGAGAAAGAAGAGUGGAAAAAGCUACCUCUCUGCUAUGAAGCUAACAAACUACUACUCUCUUGUUUUGUUAAGAGACUAAUGGAUAAAGCAGGAUUUUCUCAUGACAAUGUUAAGACAACUUGGAUCUUUAACUAUUUGGUACCUGGCUAAAAUCUUUUAAUAUUGCACAGGCUUUGGAGUUAUAAGACCCAGCUAGAAACCUGGGCUGUACUACUUCUUAGUGGAGUGAACUCUGUUCAUAUUGCAUAACUUCAGAGGCUCAAAUUUCUUCAGCUGUAAAAUAGAGAUAAGAUCACCUCUACAUAGGAUGGUCAUGAGAACCAAGUGAAAUAUUGUAUAUAAAAAUGGCAUCAGCCAUUGCCAUGUGGAGCUGAAGCAGGAGACACAGCUGGGAGGAGGGAGGAGGGAGGAGGGAGGACGAGGUGCUGGACCAGGGGAGUCGUCAGUAUUUAAACAGAUCAUAUCAUGGGUGAGUACAAGUUAGUGGUCCUUGGUUCAGGAGGUGUUGGGAAGUCUGCUCUGAUGGUUCAGUUUGUUCAGGGAAUUUUUGUUGAAAAAUAUGACCCAAUGAUAGAAGAUUCCUACAGAAAGCAAGUUGAAGUUGAUUGCCAACAGUGUAUGCUUAAAAUCCUAGAUACUGCAGGGAUAGGGCAAUUUACAGCAAUGAGGGAUUUGUAUAUGAAGAAUGGCCAAGGUUUUGCACUAGCAUAUUCAGUCCACGUUUGACUUACAGGACCUGAGGGAACAGAUUUUACUGGUUAAGGACACAGAAGAUGUUCCAAUGAUUUUGGCUGGCAAUAAAUGUGAUCUGGAAGAUGAGUGAGUAGUUGGCAAAGAACAGGGACAGAAUUGAGCAUGACAGUGAUGGAACUGUGCCAUUUUAGAACAUUCUGCAAAGUCAAAGGUCAAUGUUAAUGAAAUACUUUAUGACCUGGUCAGACAGAUAAAUAGAAAAACACCAUUGGAAAAGAAAAGCCUAAAAAGAAAUCAUGCCUGCUGCUCUAGGCCCAUAGUCAGCAGCAGCUCUUAGCUAGGUUACAAGAAUGAAGAACUAUUGCCUAAUUGGAAAGUGCCAGCAUUCCAGACUUCAAAAAA